rnacentral:lncRNA from 1 species
AUGCUGUGCUGCUUUCCCAGGCCUCGAGGCUGCAGCAACAGGACCCCACGCAGGGAAAGCACUUGGGUGCAAGUGAGAGGUUGGAUGGCUGAGUCCCUGUGCUUUAGGCCACUCACCAGGAACUGGUUGGCCAUCAGGGGCAGCACAGGGCGGGUCUCACCAGACCCAGAGACCUGGGGACCUGAGAUGAGCGGAAGCCCAGGGCAGAUCUCCCUGGACCUGGACACCAGACACUCAGGCCCACCGAGUCCAGGACAGGUCCAGUUAGGCCCGGCCACCACUAUUGUGGCCCAAUGGGAGGAGAGCCGAGCAGAGGACUGCAUGGUGAGGAUGGCACUGGCAGGCAUGCAGCACCCCUCAAGGGAGCCCCCAGAAUGGGACUUCCUGGACAGCCACCCCAUCCACAUGGACUCCCUCCUGUACCCCUCUGGAGCCUGCAUUCCCGCCCUGCAGGAGGGGAUGGUACUAAGGAGAAUCCACCAGCUGAACUCUGGCCCAGCUGGAGCAAGCUGAGCCCACUGAGGCACAGCCCACGGGUGAGGAGGACGGGGUGUGGGCCUGUGGGCAUGAGGGGAAGGCUGGGCCUUUAGACACAGAGACAGCUUCCGGGUGCUGGGGUGACCUGGGAUCACUGAGACCUCAGCCGUCACGGCCUGGGAGGACUUCCUGGGGAGGCUUUGUAUGCAGAGCUGUCUGAUGGGCAGUGGGGAGGUUUUGCCCUGGGAGGGAACAUGGACAGUUGGUGACUUUUUCUUCUCUUGGAACUGCAGGACCAGCUCCAGCCCCAGCUGAAGUCCCAUAUGUGGAGACUGAGCCAGCUCCACCUGCAGCUUUCUGCCCAGCGCUGGGACCACAGCCAGAGUCCGUGGCAGCCCCUUCACCUGCUGCAGUGCUGGGGCACCCGGUGGUUGCACGGUGGUCGGUGUCACCUCCUGAGCUCCGCCUGGGGCCAGCUCCUGGCCCCCUCCCACUGUUCCCCUCACGCUGGCUCAUGUUCUGGUAUUUACAAUUCCCCUUAUUUCUUGGAUUUAUAUAAAUAAUAGAACUAGCUUUUAAUAAAACUUAAAGUUUUAGUGUUCAAAAGGGUCAGUGUGGCUGCCUGAAGUGCCUU